rnacentral:rRNA from 1 species
UACGUAGGGUGCAAGCGUUGUCCGGAAUUAUUGGGCGUAAAGAGCUCGUAGGCGGUUUGUCGCGUCUGCUGUGAAAACUCGGGGCUUAACCCCGGGCCUGCAGUGGGUACGGGCAGGCUAGAGUGCGGUAGGGGAGACUGGAAUUCCUGGUGUAGCGGUGAAAUGCGUAGAUAUCUGGAGGAACACCGGUGGCGAAGGCGGCAUCCUGGACCGACACUGACGCUGAGGAGCGAAAGCCAGGGGAGCAAACGGG